GAUGAACGCUGGCGGCGUGCCUAAUACAUGCAAGUCGAGCGAACGGACGAGAAGCUUGCUUCUCUGAUGUUAGCGGCGGACGGGUGAGUAACACGUGGAUAACCUACCUAUAAGACUGGGAUAACUUCGGGAAACCGGAGCUAAUACCGGAUAAUAUUUUGAACCGCAUGGUUCAAAAGUGAAAGACGGUCUUGCUGUCACUUAUAGCUGGAUCCGCGCGGCAUUAGCUCGUUGGUAAGGUAACGGCGUACCAAGGCAACGAUGCAUAGCCGACCUGAGGGGGUGAUCGGCCGCACGGGAACGGAGACACGGACAAGACUCCUACGGGAGGCAGCAGUAGGGAAUCUGCCGCAAUGGGCGAAAGCAUGACGGAGCAACGCCGCGUGAGGGAUGAAGGUCUUCGGAUCGUAAAACUCUGUUAUUAGGGAAGAACAUAUGUGUAAGUAACUGUGCACAUCUUGACGGUACCUAAUCAGAAAGCCACGGCUAACUACGUG
rnacentral:rRNA from 1 species